rnacentral:rRNA from 1 species
AUACGUAGGGGGCGAGCGUUGUCCGGAAUGAUUGGGCGUAAAGGGCGCGUAGGCGGCCCGGUAAGUCUGGAGUGAAAGUCCUGUUUUUAAGAUGGGAAUUGCUUUGGAUACUGUCGGGCUUGAGUGCAGGAGAGGUAAGUGGAAUUCCCAGUGUAGCGGUGAAAUGCGUAGAGAUUGGGAGGAACACCAGUGGCGAAGGCGACUUACUGGACUGUAACUGACGCUGAGGCGCGAAAGUGUGGGGAGCAAACAGGAUUAGAUACCCUGGUAGUCCACGCUGUAAACGAUGAAUGCUAGGUGUAGGAGGUAUCGACCCCUUCUGUGCCGCAGUUAACGCAAUAAGCAUUCCGCCUGGGGGGUACGGUCGCAAGAUUAAAACUCAAAUGAAUUGACGGGG